rnacentral:rRNA from 1 species
GACGAACGCUGGCGGCGUGCCUAAUACAUGCAAGUCGAACGAGAGCAACCGGUGCUUGCACUGGUCAAUCUAGUGGCGAACGGGUGAGUAACACGUGGGUAACCUGCCCAUCAGAGGGGGAUAACAUCCGGAAACGGAUGCUAAAAUCGCAUAGGUCUUCGAACCGCAUGGUUUGAAGAGGAAAAGAGGCGCAAGCUUCUGCUGAUGGAUGGACCCGCGGUGCAUUAGCUAGUUGGUGAGGUAACGGCUCACCAAGGCCGUGAUGCAUAGCCGACCUGAGAGGGUGAUCGGCCACAUUGGGACUGAGACACGGCCCAAACUCCUACGGGAGGCAGCAGUAGGGAAUCUUCCGCAAUGGACGCAAGUCUGACGGAGCAACGCCGCGUGAGUGAAGAAGGUUUUCGGAUCGUAAAACUCUGUUGUUAGAGAAGAACAAGUGCUAGAGUAACUGUUAGCGCCUUGACGGUAGCUAACCAGAAAGCCACGGCUAACUACGUG